rnacentral:rRNA from 1 species
GAUUAACGCUAGCGGCAGGCCUAAUACAUGCAAGUCGAACGGCAGCGGGUGUAGCAAUACAUGCCGGCGAGUGGCGCACGGGUGCGUAACGCGUAUGCAACUUACCUAUAACUGGGGAAUAGCUCUCGGAAACGGGAAUUAAUACCGCAUAAUAUCACGAUUUGGCAUUAUCUUGUGAUCAAAACUCCGGUGGUUAUAGAUAGGCAUGCGUGACAUUAGCUAGUUGGUGAGGUAACGGCUCACCAAGGCUACGAUGUCUAGGGGGUCUGAGAGGAUGAUCCCCCACACUGAUACUGAGACACGGACCAGACUCCUACGGGGGGCAGCAGUAAGGAAUAUUGGACAAUGGCCGCAAGGCUGAUCCAGCCAUGCCGCGUGCAGGAUGAAGGUGCUCUGCAUUGUAAACUGCUUUUGUUCGGGAAUAAACCCCUCUACGUGUAGAGGGCUGAAUGUACCGAAAGAAUAAGGGUCGGCUACUUCGUGCCAGCAGCCGCGGUAA